CAACCUUCUCACACUGAUGUUUCCGGGGAGCGUUUGCAGCUUUAUUUGAAUAACUGUGACCAGUGCCUUAAAAACGGCACUCAGGUGCUUUGGACAUUAUCUUCAAUCCAAGAUGUGGUGGACCAUUUACUUUGCUGUGUUUCCAGUGCUUUGCCAUGAUGAACACCAGUCCAGUGCCCAUGUGGAUUAGAAAGAUAGACAGCUCCCAGUCUGAUGUAUCCUGGUUCAUGCCAGAAGUCCGGGGUUCCACAUGGCACCUAAUGCUCACUGGAAAGGUAACAUCCCAGCCAGCCAUCUAUGUGUAGGAUCCAAUAUGUCCUACCUACAAUGAUUUGGAUUCUCUUUCAAUCUUCCAAACCCUUCAGAAAGGAGCAGCAAGAAAAUAGUGGAUGGAUGUUUUAUGCUCUAUACAUUGAUUUACAGUGAUUUCCAGAAUGAAACCUGCCUGUCUCACCCAAUUUAAAUGUACUAGACUUUGCUACUGAGUAAAUGAUGCUUCUUUUAAUUUAAACCCAAAC